rnacentral:lncRNA from 10 species
CAGCUUCGAUGAAACCAGAGGCCAUUAUUCUAAGUGAAGUAACUCAGGAAUAAAAAAUCAAAUACCACAAAGGCAAAGAUACUAAGUGGUAUAAUGGACAUUGGAGGAUCAGAAGUGGGGAAGAAAGAGUGUGAAGAUUAUGGAAAUGUAUUUAUGAUCACAAACUGAGUGACAAGACCAGAGCACACACUUUUACAGGUACUUUGGAAUGAUAUCAUCACAGGAGGAACAUGGAAGUUCUACAGCACAUCUCUUUGGAGAGUAUCUAGGCAUGGAGAUUUUAAUGACCCAGAGCAGUAGAAGACAGAGUUGAAUUAUUUCAUUGUCCUCAAACAUCAUGCAUAGGUGUCUACUGGAGACAUCACAUACCAAGUGGCUUUGCUUGAUCAAUGCCUGAAACCAGGACAUGCCAACCAGUAUUGCUCAACACUUGCAGGCAUGGAAAUGAGAUGAUGAGAGAUGGAUAACACCCACACACAGACUUUGGUUCUAUAUAAAACUUCAAGUGUUUAGAUUUGACUUCAGAGAAAAGAGUGUUGGGUUAAAUUAAGUCUCAGCCACUCCAGCAGCAAAGAGUUUUAAAUUUAUGGUAAGCCCUCUUCUACCUUAUCUAGCAGGUAUGAAGUCAAUGUAACUAAAAUUGUCACUUAUUUGUCUUGCUUCUCUUAGUCAUAGUGGGUAAGCAAUCACUUUCUUCCAUAUUUUUCUUCGAUACCUAUAGUAGCUAAAAAAAGGUAAGUUACUUUUGAUGGUUCAGUAAAUGACACUCAAAUUUACCCUGCCCACAUCUAUUCUGAAUGUCCCUGAUUCUGCUUCUCAAGAGAGUAUGGACUUGGCUGAGAAUCCGUAUUGAUGCUGCUUAGAUUCAUUAAAUUCACAGUAAUCUCUUCUCCAACCUUCAGAAGAUGCUCAAAAACCUGGCUGAUGAGGUCCUCCAAUUUCUAACAUUGUUAAUAGUCUACUCUAAACUACUUAAGAAUUCAACCAUAGCCAAUAAUUUUCCUUUAUUUGAGAGAAAUAAUAGCCCCAAAGGCUGGGUCUUUAAGAAGUUUUAAAUUACAUUUCUUCCUCUGAAUCUCUUGCAAGCUCUUGUGGCUGUACUCUGGCCCCAGGGGCUUUCAAAGAUUUUGCUUGUGACUCCACAGUAAGGUAUAUUCAAUAGAUACCAAAAAUAAUAAAAUUAUAAAACAGCAUCUUUACUAUGAGUGGUACACUCUAACAUUUUUCUUUUCUAUUCUAUUCCAUUCUAAUGAUUUUUAUAUCAUUUAAAAAUAUUGGUUAUGACUAGACUGACAAUAAUGAGUGUCUCCAGGAAAAUCCUGGCUUAUCUUUGUUAAUUCCACAUAAUUAUUUGUACCAUUUAUGUUUCUCUGUAAAAUGUUUCAUGUUGUAUAAUAAAUUAUUUGGUUAUCCCAGUUAAAAUUCACUAAAUUGAUUUCUCAGCAUACUAACAGUUGUAAUUCAAAUAUUUAGGUAUUUGUCUUCUGAAUUAGACAUUUGUUUCUCUGAAAACAUCUCCAACUUUUCAUAAUUUGUCAUCCUCUCCCAUAGACUGAAUUUGUUUUGUAAUUUUCUGAAAUCUUAACCUGUUUCUUGGUGAUGUGCACAGGACUGGGCUCUAAGCAUUUUGUUGAUACCCUAUGAUUCUUACAAACUCAGAUACAAGUGUCAUUGAAUUGUCAGAACGUAUACAAAUUUUACUUUUUCAUUUUUAAAAUAAUUAAGUGAUUUAGGAAUGUGGUAUUAAAAAUCACCUUACACAUCUUAUAAUUUCUUUGCUUUACUUUUGAAAUGUCUUUGAAAUUCAUCUCUUUCAUAAAAUUAUAAAAUUUGAAAUUUCUUUCCUUAGGUAAAUGCUAUACAAGUGCCAGCUAGAAAAAUCCCCAUUCACAAACUUACAGUACUUUCUACUCAUUUGCCUUUAUUGUUGGGUCUAAUUUGGGUGAUUUUUGGCCUUUGCUGUACAGGCAGAAGUUGUUACGAAUAAAA